rnacentral:tRNA from 1 species
GGUGAGGUGGCCGAGAGGCUGAAGGCGCUCCCCUGCUAAGGGAGUAUGCGGUCAAAAGCUGCAUCCGGGGUUCGAAUCCCCGCAUCACCGCCA